rnacentral:lncRNA from 1 species
UGGGUGGUGGUGGUGGGGGGGGGUCCUUAAAUCAAGUAAGAGAGAAAAAUUCAGUCACUUGCAUUCACAAAUCCAGCUAUCCAGGUUGAAAUCAAGAAAGGAGUACAGCAGCUAGGUGCAAAGUGAAAAGGGCUGCAAAAUGAAACUGAUCGAUGUGGGGUUUUUUUUAUUGUUAUUUUAUUUUUAUGAAGAUUCUGCACACAAAAAUUAUUGCACCUCUCACCAGCUUUUCUUUGUAUUUGCAGUUUCUUCAGCAGAAUGAUACUUUCAGGUCUGUCAUAGAGGAACAGUUCUCAACAUGUUGGACUCACACUUAAACCCUGGGAGGCUGAAAAAGUAGUUAACAUCAUACAACACUCAUGCACGAGUUUGCAUGAGUGCAAAACUCAUGCAGUCCUGUAGUUUCUUUUUUGACUUUAAUUUACUGCUAGAUGUGUUAACACUAGUCAAAAACUGUAUAAACAAUGUGUGGGUAACACAGGAAAAAGUCACUGUAACAUUUACAUUUGUAUACUCUAUCCAAACCUAUUAGUUUUCACACAUAGACCAACCAAAAGCAUAAUGGAAAAAUCUGAUCCAUAACAUGUAUAAACAAGCAUGCUUGUGGAAAAUGAAAUAUGUUUUGUAUUAUCAGUGGGAGAGCUUUUCUCAAAUCUAAUCACUAAGGAGCCAGAGGAGCCAGAGCCACAUACAUACUGUAACAUUUAGGAUGUGCAAACAAAGCUCACCAUCAUCACACAUGAUUGACAGGUAAUUAUUUCAUAUGCCAAACCAUCCAGUUGACAGCUUCGAUUUUUCUGCAUCCCUAUGACAAGUAUAUUAGUGCCAGUUUGCUUCAAUGAGGAAUUUGGCACAUGACUGCACAUUCAUCGGAGACUCAUGUUUCUAAAAUUCUGGGCUCUGAUACAUUUACAUGUUUGCAGUGCAGCAAGUGUGAUGUGUCCUGUAAAGUCAUGAAACUGGGAAGAAGAUAAGAAUAUAAGUUGCCUAAAAGUGGCUGCUGGUGGCACAGAUAUUCAUCCUAAUGUUAAUCCAAUCCAUGGGUUCAAGCAUUGUAAACAGAUGCUUGAAUUACCUUUGAUCUUUUAGUUUGAAGUUUUCAAGUAGACCUGUUGGGUAAUUUGAUUGUUUUUAAUGAUUCUGAACUUUCUCAGUAAAAAUGACCUGUAAUGUGUGUACAAUAUGGAAGUGAAGGUGCAGGUUGGAUUGUGAGAGUUAAGCUCAAAAGCAUUGGAAAAAGUGUUUGCAGUAUCUUGGAUUUGAAAAUGAAGCUUGAAGAGAGGUCCUUUUAAUUGUACUCCCCAAAAAGAGGAAACACCACAGACUGAGAAAUAAAUUAACAAGAGGUCACCUGACUGUAUGUUUAACAGUGAACACAUGACUACUCUACAGCUCUGUACUGUCAUUCAUACAAUUUCAUAGCCAUAAUUGUUUACUUCUUCUGUCAAAGUUUUGUUUGUUGCCCAGCUUACACUGUUCGGCUUCCUGGUCAGAUACCCGGCAUGUGAACUGUGCUGCAUGUGCAGAAUGUCCAGGCUAGUUAGAGUCUAACUGAGGUGAAUAUAUGCAACAACAAAAACGUGAUCCUUAAACUUUAUUUUAUAAAUUUGUUGGUUAAACUUUCAGAAAUCUAACUGUGAGGGAUUUCAGUUGGACUAAUAGAUUCACAUGUAUUUAAAAGUUCAGUUUUAGUAGGAAAAUGCCAUUGAUCUCUUUUUAACAUCAUGUUUAUGUACUGAAUGAAUGCCACAAGUAUUUUGCCAAACUGAAAAAAAAAGUUUACAUAUGAAAUUAGGUCAUUUUCCCUAGUUUUUCCUAUAUAAUCAGAUUUAUUUGUAAUCAGUGAAGUCAGCCCCUUGUGAAAAUUAUAGAGAGUUUCAGGCACUUCUACUCUAGCUUCACCUUAUGUCCACACACACUUUAGUCUGUCCACACAACAAUUUAGUUUAAUUUAGAAACUGGACUUUUUAAAAUGCAUGUAAACACAUUUGUCUGACCGUAAUGAAACUCCUCACAGCCUGACUAACAGACCUGGAUAAUGUGGUUGGAGAUCAAUUUACUCUGUUAGGUAUACGACUCAAUCGAACUAAACUGGCUUGAGCAUUUUGAGAAUGCUCCAGUGUUUGCAUGCAAGGCUCUGAGCUGGUGAUUGAACAGCAUGGAUGCACUGCUAGGAAGCAGGUAGUAAACGAAACCUCAACAGAUGAACCAAGGACGCAGAAAAGACUAAACUUUCCUAACAAACCGCACAGAGAUGACCUGAUGGAAACAAGUGAAAUUGGGGAUUUCCCACCUACUGUAGCAGGACCUGCGUCUGUCAAUAAACUGAUUCUUGCUUAUUGCAUGUAAACUAAGACAAGGACAGUCGCCCAGUUAAACUGCCUAACUGAGCUAUGGCUGUAGCUUGACUUAACUGUGCAUGUAAACUUCCUAGCUGAGGCUGCCACUUACAUCUUACCUCCCUAUGAAUCUUUUCAAAUUGGCUGGCUGUAACGAUUAAAAAUCAAGCAAUAAGCGCCUUUUUGGAUUGUAUGGUGUCAGUGUUAUCUUUCUUCCUGUCUCAUCUCACCAUGCAGUCAAACAGUGGGUCUUUGAUCAAUACGGCCAUUUUACUUGCCUUUAUAGGUGCAUGGAUUUACUGCCAGCCUUUGCUUGUUAGCUGAUGUCAGUGUAAAACCGGCGUUGGUCUGUGACAGGUUGUGUUCAGCCUCUGAUGGGCUUGACUGUUCCUUUAUAUGAAGAGUUUUUCUGCAUCAUUUGUCUGAUGCUCCUUAAGGAUGACCAACUGAGCUCAUAGCGAACAGUCAGACAAUGCUCAGAAGAAGAAUCUCUUGAUUUGUCAAGUGUGAUUAAUUAACAAACACAAAUGAUAAACAUGGAGUAGUGCCAGUGAAAUUAUUGAGGGAACAAAUGAUGUAGUAAUACAGAGCACUCGAGCAGGAGGAGCAUUUAUGUUGGAGUAUGUUUUGCACAUAUUUCUAAUCUGAUGUUGAUAUCAUAUUUUAUUCUUUGAGUUAACUGCGAUGUAGUGUUGUGUUGUAUAAUGUAUUUUAGUUCAUACCAUCUCAGUGGGAGGAAAGAGACACUCACUUUGUCUAUACAUGCUGGCUAGGCAAACAUUUGCUUACAUCUGAUUGGUUUUUGGUUACCACAAAGGUUUGUCAAGCCCAAACGGAUUAGGCAAAGCAUCACAGACUUUGUCUCUAUACAUUAUUAAACUUUUAAGCCACCGAAAAAAAGGAUUGGGAAGAGAAAGUAAUUAUUCAUCCUGAGCACCCCCCGCAUCUUCUUCAGUAAAUCCCUCACUCUGGCUUCAUAAAAUGACCAUUCACUUUAGUUUUUUUGUCUUAAACCUGGCUGAAGACUUUACCUGGUUUUGUUCACUCUUGAUUUAUUUUCCCAAAGUUGAAAUCCAAGUUUAUUUUCUUAAAUUAGGUCUUUAAAGACGAAUGGUCUUAACAAGCCAUAACAAGCGGAUGAAUGGCUGGCUUCUCAAACUUUAAGGGUGUUAUGCACCAUGUCCAACUUCAAAGCCCGUCUUAACUCCACACUUUAAUUGUAUCUUCUUCAAGCCUGUCUGCCUGACCGCCAUCUGAUUCUGCUGACAACUGCACUCCUCUCUCUUCUUCAUGCUCAUCCUUCUAUCUCUCCUAUCCUCCCUCUCUGUCUCUCUGUCUUUUUCCAUCUGUCAUGAAAGAAAGAACCCCCCCCCCCCCCCCCCCAUCUUUCCUUUAGCUCUGCUAAAGUCACUCGCUACAAGUGUCAACUCAGGCACAAGCCCUAAAUUACUUUCUUGGAUGAGUGUUGACAUCUACCACUCAACCUUCAGCUCAUGCAAACAGAAUGAUGCUAUUUGCCCCCUUUUUCCUCUCUCUCUCUUCACGCUGUUUCUCUAUCAUUCCUCGUUUUUCUAUUUUUCUCUGAGCCUACAAACAGACAUUCACGCUUCUCCAUAUGGGCUUUAAUUUGCCAUUGUCCCCCAAGAUAUUCCUCGCUCAGGCUUGAGAUAAAGGGAUAAUCACUUCAAAGGGAAGCUAGGGGGGAGACUGCCCCCUCCCUCGCAGCUGAAAGGACAAGUGGACAAUACGCUAAUUGAGAGGGGGAACUGAUCACAGGGUCUGUUCAAAGGGACGCCUGGCCACGCCCACUCCUCCCUCCGACGCACUUAAUUUUAUUAGUGUUUAUGGUGAUGCUUGAGACAAAAUUAUCACUCAAACCCACCCCAGCCUUUGAACUCCAAAAUAUUGGGUUAUUUGCAAUUGGCCACCCUUUCCUCUGUUUUUGUGCUAUUUUUGCACAAGUGAAGGAUUUGUGUGGGGAUAACAGUUAUAAAACAGGCUGUACAGAAUUUAUUGCUGGCAUUGUGUGUAUGUAUACCAUGAGCUGUGUGUGAUAUGAUACAAAUCCCAAACUUUCAUGCGAAAUGGCAAAAAAAGGGAAAACAGCCCCUCUGAUGCAACGAAUGAUACAUCAUGAAAGAGCUCACCAGAAUAGACCAAUAAGAAAGGAAGAAGUAACAAAAGAAAAGGUUUUAUUGACAAACCAACCCUACACUACGCUGUCAUUAAAUCCUCAGUCAGUUUCCAUGUAUCCUUGUAUGACACCAAGCGAAAGCACACCUUCUCUACACCUUUAAAGCAAUCCCUAAUUAAAGAGGAGCUUCAUUUCCAAUCUGCAGUGAUGCACCAGAUGCCUUUAAUUUCUUCCCAACCAUGAGCUCUCAAUUAGCCUCCGGGUCACCUCUUUUUAUUGGGCCUUCAUUGCAAGUCAGUGGCAGCACUGUCGUCCUGUAUUGUGCUUUUAAAGCGUUUGGAUCUUCCUGUGAAACGGUUAGGGCCUCCAACAAAAGGGUCAGGGCAGGGUCAACAUCAAAAAGGAGCGUCUUGUGGCUACUUUACAGCACCCUCUCCCUCUUUUGUCACUGCUAACCAUUAGAGUGGGCAUUCAAGGGUCAACAGGUGUGGGCUCAUGGGUUCAGAGUGAUCAAAAAGGACAGUGACUUUUAUUCUGGCUCUGCUAAUCUCUGUUUUUUAUUUUCUUGAAGAAAAAAAAACAUCAUGAACAAAUGAGUGGUCUCAAACUUGUAUCAUCUGAAGCCAACUGUGUGAACGAAGUAUGACCAGAGCUUCUGGCUGGUCAGCAAAAAUCAAACUGUCAGUGGGCACUUUUGCAGUGAUAUGUGCAGCAUGAUUUAAUUUGAGUGAGGAUAAAAUCUUAUCCUAAAUGUGAAUAUGCCACUAUUAUGAUUGCCCUACGCUUCAAAAUUAGAUUCUUUAACCCCGCAGUAUCUCAUUUCCCCUUUUAAAGCAGACUUUAGUGUGCAGAUAACAGUAUGGAUACUCAUUUCGUGGCUUUGAUUUGGGCCUUGCUGAUCUGCCAAGUGCCCUAUGAACAUCUCUGCACUGAUGCUGAUGACCCAUAUUGUGCUUUUGACUUCCAACUCACAGGUAGUGCAAGAUGUUGGGAGUUAUCUUGCAGUUUGGACACAUUUACUAAGAUAUAUAGAGUGAGAAAGAGUCAUGCUUGCUGCUGUUACACUGUCAGCCAUUGAACAGACUUUUGGAAACACCAUGUUUCUAACCUGUUUCAGUAGACUUAUUUUGAUAAAUGCUUCGGCAUGCAAGAAAAAGCUAAAGCAAAUACUCAUUCACUAAGACCACAGGAAAAUUGCAACUGUGGACCCCUGUGAGAAAAACUGGAUAUUGUUCAGAUUACAUGGGUGCAUUUUUUGUAAGAACUGCAUUUCCCAAGUUGGAAACAUGUUUCAAGCUUGUUUCCAGUGUGGCUGCAGCUUUAUUAAGCAACCAAGAUAAGACACUGUGGGUGCUUUUUGUCCAGUAAUGCAUGCAUGUAACUGCAAAAAUUUAGUAAGAUGCGAACAACCAACCUUCAAAUACACACAAUAAAUGGUAUUGUUUAUCUAUAUCAAUAUCAAUAUCAAUAUCAAUAUUUAUUCAUAGCCACUUUGGGACCCCAAAGAAGUUGAACUUCAUUACUCUCCUUGUCCUGUGCCAUCAUAGGAGUUUUGUGAAUUUGAAUCCUCUGAAUUAUAUAAUUAUAUUCUCCUUUAAAGUUGAUUUGCAACAUCAAAGGGACAAUAUAGGCUUUGAAGUACCAUGGGAUUGGAUCACUGUCUAACCCACUCUUUAAGAUUCUGUCACAAUGACAUUAGGGAAGUCAUGUGAAUUAAAGACUAGGAAACAGCUCUUGCCUUUGCUCUCUGUCCAAUUUCAAUCAAAAUGUCAUGCUGUGCCAUUUUCUCUGAAUGUGGAACUGGCAUGUGUGUUAGGUUGACAUCUUUGUGGCUAAAAAGCCUGUGACUAAUAAGGAAAUUAUUUGACAGUUACACUCUAUAGGAUUAUCAAAAUCAGGGCAAUAACUUAAAGAAUACAUCAAACCAUUUUGGACAUUUCUUCAAUUUAUAUUUAACCGUUUGAAUUACACGUUCAGUCCCCUUGCUCUGGUUAAUUUGUAAUAGAGGCUGAACAUUACUGAAUUGCACACAUAUAACCCCAGCCCAAACUCUGUACACAUUGUAGAGUAGCCCAAAAGAAAAAGACCUUUAUAGCUGUUCAACAGGAGAUUAUAAAUAAACAGAUAAAACUCAGUCAUACUAGCAACACCUUCACUUGGUAAACGCUCUGAUCUUGCGCCUGUCAUUUAAAGAAGCCAAAGGCAACAAAAGUAUGGCUUUUGUUUGCUCUGCUUUCCUGUUGAGACUGUGUGGUAACUAACAGACUGUAAGGAUAAUGCUAUUGGCGCGGUAGAUCACUUACUUCUUACGCUCCAAAAGCCCCGGGGAGUUGGCUAGAUUGCUUGUCUUUGAUAAGGUCCUGGCAUGUAUGUAAAUUCUCUCCCAGCCUAGAAAAGUUAAAUAAACGCACAGGACGUCUACAAGCAA